rnacentral:lncRNA from 1 species
UUGGUGAGUUGGUCGUGCCCUUCAAUCCACAGAUGAAGCCCACCUGUGAUGCCACUGGCAUUCAGGCUCUGAAGAUGUUUCGGACGUAAAAAAAACGGGCCUUUAGUCCCCAUUUUUCAACCGGGACAAAAUAAUUGGAACAAAAGGUUAAAAAAUUUAGUUCCGGUUGUGUUACGAACAGGAACUAAAGGCCAUUCACGUGGCUGCUGGGGCUGGAGGACUUUUAGUUUUGGUUCUGUUAUCAACCGAGACAAAAUAAAAAAUUUGAAAAAAAAAUAAAAAAUUUGAUUUUUUUUAUAUUUUUUUGAUUUACAAAUCUUUGAAUUAUUUAACAAUUUAAUCUCUAAUCACCCCUACUCAUUACUUCAGCUUGGAGCACUCAUUUCAAAUCGUCUAAUUUCCCGAUCAGUCACUCAUCCUCUCACUCCUCCAGCCCAAACACGCUUAACUUUGGAGUUCUAUCUUGACUAUUUUUCAAGUCUGCACUUGUUGUUUUAUUAACAGUAAGCUAUCAAUCCUAUUAACCCUUACGUCUUGAUGUCACAUGAUUUAAAUUUUUUAAUUCCAGGCAAUUAUUAAAAUAAACAACAAUGAUUAACAAACAACAAUAAUUAAUUAUAAAACUCAACAAAACUGCAAAAAGGCCAAAAAUUAAAAAGAAC